UAUGGCUCAGUGGUAGAGUGCUUGCCUAGCAUGUAGGAAGCUCUGGGUUCGAUUCCUCAGUA
rnacentral:tRNA from 1 species